UGAAGCAGCAACGCCGUGUGAAGGAUGAAUGGCUUUUGCUUGUAAACUUCUGUAAGUGGAGAAAAAUACCCCGUUUUACGGGAUUGAUUGUAUCCACAGAGUAAGCCCCGGCUAACUACGUGCCAGCAGCCGCGGUAAUACGUAGGGGGCAAGCGUUGUCCGGAUUUACUGGGUGUAAAGGGUGCUCAGGUGGAUUUGUAAGUCAGAGGUGAAACUCCGGAGCUUAACUCCGGAACUGCCUUUGAUACUGCAAGUCUCGAGUUUGAGAGAGGGCAAUGGAAUAUCUGGUGUAGCAGUGAAAUGCGUAGAUAUCAGAUAGAACACCAAUGGCGAAGGCAGUUGCCUGGCUCAAUACUGACACUAAAGCACGAAAGUGUGGGGAGCAAACAGGAUUAGAUACCCUGGUAGUCCACACCCUAAACGAUGAGUACUAGACGUUGGUCCUUUUAAGGAUCAGUGUCUGAGCUAACGCAUUAAGUACUCCACCUGGGAAGUACGAUCGCAAGGUUGAAACUCAAAGG
rnacentral:rRNA from 1 species